AGCUCCAGUAGCGUAUAUUAAAGUUGUUGCAGUUAAAAAGCUCGUAGUUGGAUUUCUGGUACGCUGCGCCUAGCCUGCCUACGUUAGUAGAGUGUGUGCUGGAGCGCGGUUGCCAUCCUUCUAGAGAACGUUUCUACCCUUCACUGGGCCGGAUUCGCGAUCUAGAUCUUUUACUUUGAAAAAAUUAGAGUGUUUAAAGCAGGCAUUUGCUAUGAAUACAUUAGCAUGGAAUAAUAAUAUAGGACUACGGUUCUAUUUUGUUGGUUUCUAGAACUGGAGUAAUGAUUGAUAGGGAUAGUUGGGGGUGCUAGUAUUGAAUGGCCAGAGGUGAAAUUCUUGGAUUCAUUCAAGACUAACUUAUGCGAAAGCAUUCACCAAGGAUGUCUUCUUUAAUCAAGAA
rnacentral:rRNA from 1 species